rnacentral:rRNA from 1 species
ACGUCAAAGUCAUCAUGCCCCUUAUGUCCUGGGCUACACACGUAAUACAAUGGCAACGACAGAGGGCAGCUACCUCGCGAGAGCAAGCGAAUCCCUAAACGUUGUCUCAGUUCGGAUUGCAGGCUGCAACUCGCCUGCAUGAAGUCGGAAUUGCUAGUAAUGGCAGGUCAGCAUACUGCCGUGAAUACGUUCCCGGGCCUU